rnacentral:misc_RNA from 1 species
GUGCCCAAGGAACCCAGAGGUGCUCAAGUAAGAGAAUUUAUCAUUAUCCACUUAAAUGUAUAAUUAAUAAAUAAAGGUUGCUCCUAAUUCAAUGAGAGUAUUAGCUAAGAUACAUUUUUUCAAAUAAACCAGUUUGUGACUAACUUAACAAAAGCCAUGUGCAUACUCAGAGUGCCUGCAAUUUCUGGAAUUGGAUCCUUGGACUGGAAUAUGAAGGGAGACAAUUCUACAUAUCAUGCUUUAUAU